GAUGAACGCUGGCGGCGUGCCUAAUACAUGCAAGUCGAGCGAACAGAUGAGGAGCUUGCUCCUCUGACGUUAGCGGCGGACGGGUGAGUAACACGUGGAUAACCUACCUAUAAGACUGGGAUAACUUCGGGAAACCGGAGCUAAUACCGGAUAAUAUAUUGAACCGCAUGGUUCAAUAGUGAAAGACGGUUUUGCUGUCACUUAUAGAUGGAUCCGCGCCGCAUUAGCUAGUUGGUAAGGUAACGGCUUACCAAGGCAACGAUGCGUAGCCGACCUGAGAGGGUGAUCGGCCACACUGGAACUGGAACACGGUCCAGACUCCUACGGGAGGCAGCAGUAGGGAAUCUUCCGCAAUGGGCGAAAGCCUGACGGAGCAACGCCGCGUGAGUGAUGAAGGUCUUCCGAUCGUAAAACUCUGUUAUGAGGGAAGAACAAAUGUGUAAGUAACUAUGCACGUCUUGACGGUACCUAGUCAGAAAGCCACGGCUAACUACGUG
rnacentral:rRNA from 1 species